AGAGUUUGAUCCUGGCUCAGGAUGAACGCUAGCUACAGGCUUAACACAUGCAAGUCGAGGGGAAACGAUAUUGGAAGCUUGCUUCCGAUAGGCGUCGACCGGCGCACGGGUGAGUAACGCGUAUCCAACCUGCCCACCACUUGGGGAUAACCUUGCGAAAGUAAGACUAAUACCCAAUCGAUAUCUCUAGAAGACAUCUGAAAGAGAUUAAAGAUUUAUCGGUGAUGGAUGGGGAUGCGUCUGAUUAGCUUGUUGGCGGGGUAACGGCCCACCAAGGCGACGAUCAGUAGGGGGUUCUGAGAGGAACGGUCCCCCACAUUGGAACUGAGACACGGUCCAAACUCCUACGGGAGGCAGCA
rnacentral:rRNA from 1 species